rnacentral:rRNA from 1 species
AGUGAACGCUGGCGGCGUGCCUAAUACAUGCAAGUCGAACGGAAUUUAAAAGAGCUUGCUCUUUUAAAUUUAGUGGCGCACGGGUGAGUAAUAUAUAGCUAUCUGCCCCUUGCUGGAGGACAACAGUUAGAAAUGACUGCUAAUACUCCAUACUCCUUUUUACCAUAAGAUAAAUCGGGAAAGAAUUUCGGCAAGGGAUGAGACUAUAUCGUAUCAGCUAGUCGGUGGGGUAACGGCCUACCGAGGCUAUGACGCGUAACUGGUCUGAGAGGAUGAUCAGUCACAUUGGAACUGAGACACGGUCCAAACUCCUACGGGAGGCAGCAGUAGGGAAUAUUGCGCAAUGGGGGAAACCCUGACGCAGCAACGCCGCGUGGAGGAUGACACUUUUCGGAGCGUAAACUCCUUUUGUUAGGGAAGAAUAAUGACGGUACCUAACGAAUAAGCAC